rnacentral:lncRNA from 1 species
CUCUGGAUCUCCUGCCGCUGUUAGAGCCAAACCCAAGGCAGGCGGCCUACUCGUUCCGAGAGCAUCGGGAGCUUCGCAGAUGUGGAGAUGGUUAUUUGUAGUUUAUCCUCACAGCAAACUGGGGCGAAUCCGCUCCACACACUACUGAGCGCCUACUGUGUACCAAGUCUCUACUAAGCCUGUUCUCCAACAGGAUCCGGGUCGGAGUGGGAUAGAGAACCAAGAGCUGAGAGCCAGCGUCUGCCUCUGGCUGGGGUUAUUCGCUCACGGAUUACUGAAGUCGAUGGAGUCUUGCUCUCCAUACUGGCCUAGAACUCCUGGGCUCCAGUGAUCCUCCUGUCUCAGCCACCUGAGUAUCUGAGACUACAGGCACUCACCACUGCAACUGGGCCAUUCACUGUUAAAGGACAUUUGGG